CAAUACCCUCUUCUCCUUCCUUCCUUGCAGCAGUUUUUUGUGGGCCCCAGUCCUGUCUAACCCAAGUGUAUAAAUCAUCUUCUCUACCCAGGAACCCAUAACAUGGGGAACCCAGUGGGAAGCUGGCAGUGUGCUGAGUGAAGUGACUCUGUGGAUAUCACAAUGAGAAGUCAGGGAGGUGUCACCCUGCUCAGGCUCCUGCUCGUCCUGGCUGCGCUGUGUUGCACAGGUUUCAGCCUGAC